CGGGAGACGUGAGGGAGGAGAGGCUGGGAGAGAAAAGCAGGGUCAUUCUGGACAGGGGCUGAGGAAGGAGAUGUGAGCGGAGGAAGUACCAGCUGGUGCCCGGCCUGCUUUCCCUCUGUGGGUGCCAGGCCUCCAGGGCCCCCCACCUGCCCGGUUAACAGAGGCUAGAGGCCGGCCUCUUGCUCUGCAACUGAGGAGGGAGUGGCCUGGCUCCUGCCAGAGCUGGAGCGGAUGCUGUGCGGAGCCUGACAGGGAAGGGUGCCUGCCCCGAACCCGGGAAAAUAAGAGCCCGCCACCCAUCUCACCACCGACACAGCUGAGCGAGCUCAGAAUCAAAGCAGCUUUAGAAAUGUUCUGCCUUGAGCUGAUGUGGCGUUCAGAGAAAUCCCAGGAAACAGGAGGUUUUAGUAAAUAAAGAUGCUGUCCUGAGACUUUGGCGGGCCCUUAUCUGAAAGCCGUUGAUAAGGAUCAGGGAGGAACGGCUGGGUGGGACCAAUGUAACCAACCACAGGGAUCCUUAAAAGUGGAAGAGGGGGCAGAAAAGAGAACCAGAGAGAGGGUAGUAUGGGCUCAGCCCGACGCUGCUGGCUUUGAAGAUGCAGGCAGAGGGCCACGAGCCAAGGAAUGUAGGCGGCCUCUAGAAGCUGGAAAGGGAAAAGAGACAGACUGUCCCCGACAACCUCCAGAAAGAACGCAGCCCUGCUGACAGCUGAUGUCAGCCCAUGAGACUCAUCUCAGGUUGCCGAACUACAGAACUGUAAGUGUAUCCCCUGCUGCUUUAAGCCAUCAAGCAUGUGGGAAUUUGUUACCGCAGCAACAGGAAACCAAUGCAACCUUUUCCACAAAAAAUGCUUCUCUGUAAUGAUGCUUCUCGCCUUAAAGCCUACUUUUUGUAAUAUUACCUGAGCUGCGCCAGCUUUCUCUUAGUAUUUGCAUUGACGUAUCUCUUCCCAACUUUUAACAACACAGGAAGACUGAAAGUUAAGCAUCUCUCACAAAUAGGAGUUUUUUCUUUUAACACUUUAGAAACGCCAGUUCACUGUCUUCUAGUUUACUGUUGCUUCUUUGAAGAGAAAGUCCCCCUCCCUGCACCCCCAUGCUUUUAGUAUUUUGCUUUUUGGUUUUCAGUAGUUUUACUAUGAUGUGUCAGGGUGUGGUUUUGUGUAUUUAUCCUGUGUGGGGUUUUCUGAGCUUUCUGAAUCUGUGGCCUGAUUUCUUUUAUCAGUUUUGGAAAAUUCCUGGCCAGUACUUCAAGCAUUAUUCUCCUUCUUUAUCCUCUCUCUCCUUCUUGGGUUCCAAUUACUACAGGGUCUGUCUCUGUACUGUGUACCAGUGCCUUUCUGUGCUUCAGUCUGAAUAGUUUCUAGUACCCUCCAGUUGCAGUUUUACUCAUGGUUUACUGCAGUUUAUGCUUACAGGCACCUCGCGACCCCGAGCCUUUCGUGUUGACUGAAGCCCAGCACAGCGGACUGAAGAAAACCAAGCUGUACUCAAAUGGUUUUCUGGAUUUGGCCUGUUGACUUCCUACCCCAAGGAGCCUUAAAGCUUACCAGAUGGAUAAACAGCAGUGUGGUCUAGCCCUCGCAAGUCCUGUUUUUAGCACUCCAGCCCUGGGAAAAUACCCGAGUCCCACGGGCUGCUCGGUUCUCAGCAGCGGCGCCAGAAGCUGCACCCCCGGGAAGCGGCUGCCGCAGACACAGCCUCCUCAGGAGCCUCUCUGCUCUCAAACCUCAGCUCCUCAUUCCCCAGCUCUCCAAUGCCGCCAGACAGACUUGUAUUUUAUGCAUCCCUCCUUCUGUCGUUCUUGGCACAUUGUGGGUCUGCCUGAAAGUACUUCAGCCAGGAGCAGAAAUACGCAUGUCCUCAUCGCCAUCUCCACCUCUCUUUUUACGUUAUUUAUUUAAGGAAACUCGGUUCUUUGUCCUGCUAAAUUCCCCUCACUCUAGAUUUGGCUGAUUGCUCCUUAGUGGGGUGUUUAACUUGUUCAUCCGAUUCCCACAUUUCAUGUAAAUGAGCAGGUACAUCUGAAACCUUGAUUAGAUUCACAUGCAUUUUGUGGGGGCGGGGCUUGCCUUGACAAGAAAACUUAUGGCUGAUGCUACGUGUUUACUAUGGCUCCGCACCAGGCCCACUGGUGCCACUGUUAGUGACGCUAAGCCUCCACGCACAGGUGGACCACUGCUCUUGAUUCCAGGAAAGAGAUGGAGAACUGGGAAAAGCAAAAUGAAGAAGAAACAGUCCAAGGCCAUGCUGCAGACAGGCUGGUUACAAUGGGCAACCAAAGCUCAAUCUUCUUGGGGUCUUUUCAGGAACCAGGUAGAGCACGUACCCUGGAACUGUCUUCCUAAGACAAGGAAGGGAGUGUUUACUCACCAUAUCACGUGCCCAGCUGCUGAAGAGCUAACUCUCUUCCCCAGUUUGCAAGGGCAGCCCCUGUGGCAGUGUCACAGUAACCCUCACUGGAUGUACAGCAAGGUGCUGCCUGCGUGCAGCGGGCAGUCUCGGUGGCAGCCAGAGCACGAGGAUGGGCUGAUUCUCACCCCGUGGUCUCAGCAGCCACGGUUACUCGUGCCCUAGAUGCCUUACUUAUUUCACUAGGGGCGGCAAAGGACUGCUUUUCUAUCUGUAUUUUUAGGUGGAAUUCUUCCAUGAAGAAGUUCCCAUCAUUGGUCAGCUGGCUACUGUGCAGGUUCCAUUUUAUUACUUUGGAGAUUGCUAGGGCAUCAAUUCAUUGUUCUGAAAACUGAUAACUAAGCGAGUGUACUUUCUUGUAUAUGAUGAGGUUUUUCUAAUAUUAUAAUUAUGACCUUGCGAUUAAAAAUAGAAACACAUACACCUA